AAAUUGAAGAGUUUGAUCAUGGCUCAGAUUGAACGCUGGCGGCAGGCCUAACACAUGCAAGUCGAGCGGUAGCACAGAGAGCUUGCUCUCGGGUGACGAGCGGCGGACGGGUGAGUAAUGUCUGGGAAACUGCCUGAUGGAGGGGGAUAACUACUGGAAACGGUAGCUAAUACCGCAUAACGUCGCAAGACCAAAGUGGGGGACCUUCGGGCCUCAUGCCAUCAGAUGUGCCCAGAUGGGAUUAGCUAGUAGGUGGGGUAAUGGCUCACCUAGGCGACGAUCCCUAGCUGGUCUGAGAGGAUGACCAGCCACACUGGAACUGAGACACGGUCCAGACUCCUACGGGAGGCAGCAGUGGGGAAUAUUGCACAAUGGGCGCAAGCCUGAUGCAGCCAUGCCGCGUGUGUGAAGAAGGCCUUCGGGUUGUAAAGCACUUUCAGCGGGGAGGAAGGCGUUAAGGUUAAUAACCUUGGCGAUUGACGUUACCCGCAGAAGAAGCACCGGCUAACUCCGUGCCAGCAGCCGCGGUAAUACGGAGGGUGCAAGCGUUAAUCGGAAUUACUGGGCGUAAAGCGCACGCAGGCGGUCUGUCAAGUCGGAUGUGAAAUCCCCGGGCUCAACCUGGGAACUGCAUUCGAAACUGGCAGGCUAGAGUCUUGUAGAGGGGGGUAGAAUUCCAGGUGUAGCGGUGAAAUGCGUAGAGAUCUGGAGGAAUACCGGUGGCGAAGGCGGCCCCCUGGACAAAGACUGACGCUCAGGUGCGAAAGCGUGGGGAGCAAACAGGAUUAGAUACCCUGGUAGUCCACGCCGUAAACGAUGUCGAUUUGGAGGUUGUGCCCUUGAGGCGUGGCUUCCGGAGCUAACGCGUUAAAUCGACCGCCUGGGGAGUACGGCCGCAAGGUUAAAACUCAAAUGAAUUGACGGGGGCCCGCACAAGCGGUGGAGCAUGUGGUUUAAUUCGAUGCAACGCGAAGAACCUUACCUGGUCUUGACAUCCACAGAACUUUCCAGAGAUGGAUUGGUGCCUUCGGGAACUGUGAGACAGGUGCUGCAUGGCUGUCGUCAGCUCGUGUUGUGAAAUGUUGGGUUAAGUCCCGCAACGAGCGCAACCCUUAUCCUUUGUUGCCAGCGGUUCGGCCGGGAACUCAAAGGAGACUGCCAGUGAUAAACUGGAGGAAGGUGGGGAUGACGUCAAGUCAUCAUGGCCCUUACGACCAGGGCUACACACGUGCUACAAUGGCAUAUACAAAGAGAAGCGACCUCGCGAGAGCAAGCGGACCUCAUAAAGUAUGUCGUAGUCCGGAUUGGAGUCUGCAACUCGACUCCAUGAAGUCGGAAUCGCUAGUAAUCGUAGAUCAGAAUGCUACGGUGAAUACGUUCCCGGGCCUUGUACACACCGCCCGUCACACCAUGGGAGUGGGUUGCAAAAGAAGUAGGUAGCUUAACCUUCGGGAGGGCGCUUACCACUUUGUGAUUCAUGACUGGGGUGAAGUCGUAACAAGGUAACCGUAGGGGAACCUGCGGUUGGAUCACCUCCUUACCUUAAAGAA
rnacentral:rRNA from 1 species